AAAAGACAAAAAUUAAUUUGUGAAAAGACGCACGGUGAAAAUACAUCAUGUAAAAAAAAAAAGAGGGUAUAAACCCAAAAACAAUAAAUAUUAAAAAAAAAGAAAGUAAAAAGAUACAGUAGGACUCUCUCAAUCUUUCUCUCUCCCAUUUCUCCUCCCCUAUUUCUCUUCCAUUUCUCUGAUUGUCUAAACCACCUGAAACGCUUUCGUAUGCUCAACAAAUAGCUUUAUAUGAAGCUACAAUGGCGUAAUGGAAUUACUAGGGUAUUCAAGGAAAAGGAGCACGCUGAAGUUGAGUUUACUAUAAUUGAGCUGCCUCACGGGAAACUCUUACUUUUGUUUGCAUUUUGCAAGAAAAAUCUUUCAGGAUUGAAGAAUGAAGAGAGAAUGAGUCUCUUGCACCUUUGAAGCACAAGUGAAAGCGUAGACUUCAAAUCAUUGAGGAUUUUCCUGAACUUGAAAAGUCAACACAUGUCAAGGACAAGCCAAAGUGUAGACUUCGAAUCAUUGAGGAUUCUCCUGAACUUGAAAAUUCAACGCAUGUUAAGGACAAGCCAAAGCGUAGACUUCGAAUCUUUGAGGAAUAUCCUGAAUCUGAAAAUUCAAUGCAUGCCAUAAUCUCCUGCAACGAACACUAUGGGAUCUUUGAGAAGGAGGUCUAUAGGCACCUCACCAAUACUUGGAAAUGUUGCAGGCCCUUUAGAAGAAUUUGUGGGAAAGAAGAAAAGAGGUCCAACAAAAAUGAAAACAAUUGCUACAAGUAGUGAUGGUCGAUUAGAAGUCAAAUUCAAUGCAUUGGGCCAGCCAAUUGGAGAUGCAUCGAUAGGUUUAUCUUCAUUUCUUGGAGCAGUUGUGAGGGAAAUUGUACCAGCAACUAUAAUUGAUUGGAGAAAGAUUACUCCUGGGAUGAAAGAAGUUUUGUGGAAAUCAGUUUAGGCAAGAUAUUUGGUUGAAAAAAAUUGGGAGAAAAGUUAUAUAUUUAAAGCCAUGCCUGAUUUUUGGAGAGUUUCUAAAUCAAGGUUGAUUGCUAAAACAAGCAAGACACCAAACGAACAAGAAAAAAUUAAACUGCGGCCUGAUAAUAUCCAAUCUGAAGUUGAGUGGUGAGCUUUUGUUAGAGAAAAAACUUGCUCUGAAUUUAAGGCUAAAAGUGACAAGUAUAAAGAGAUAAGAAACAAACGACUCCCUCACACUGGUAGCAGCAAAUGACAAAUAGUAGUACAAGUAAAGAAGCACCUUCUAGGGUUGAUGUUUGGACUAAGGCGCACAUAAAGAAAAACGGGGAACUUGUCAAUUCAAGUGUUGCUGAAGCUUUUGUAUGCACCCGCUAAUUUCCAUUUAGUUUUUGAUACUAUUUCAAUAGAGUUAUUUGAAAUUUGAAUAUGAUUAUACGUGAUUUGUAUCUAGUUAUUUUGUUAGGACAUGUUGAAUGAUUCGUCAUUAUCUUCAAAAACUCCAAAAGAAAAAAGAGAUAUUCUUUCAAAGAUAAUAGGUCCUGAAAAAGGUUGUUAUUUGAAAGCUUAUGGCAAAGGAGUUACUAAAACAAACUUGGAAAUUACAUCUGAGAAAGAUGAUCAUAUAAUUAGAAUGGAAAACAAUUAUAAAUAGUUGAAGGAAAAAGUGGCAGUUAUGGAGCUGAUUCACUCUUUCAUGAAUCCCAAGGUAAAUUUAUUCAUUCUUAUUUACAUUUACUUUGCAUGCACCUUAUUUGUUGUAUCUAACAUUUUUUUUGUGAUGGUUAUAGUCUCAUUCUGGUUUGAGCGAAGAGCAAUCCAAUGCACAUAAUCCUACUUUGGUAAGAUUACAAUAUUAUCAAUUUGCUUAUAAAUUGUCAAGUUAAUUAAUUACUUCUAAACUCUCAUAAUUUAUAGUCUCAUUCUGGUUUGAGCGGAGAGCAAUCCAAUGCACAUAGUCCUACUUUGAGUGGAAGUGUUGGAACUUAAGGCCAAAGAUGCAAGCUUUUGGAUUGGAAUGGUUAUGGGAAUAUUGUUGCUUAUGGAUAUUUCAUUUUAAAUGAUCCAAAAGAUUUAGUUCUUGAUGUCCCUAUUGGACCAUUUUCCAUGAAGGUUGGUAUUGAUUUUGCAAGAGAGCCCGAUGCAUUUUUCUGGAGGCCUACUUUAGGGAUAACUUGGAUUGAAGAAAGUGUAGGAAAUUUUAUUGCUUAGCGAGCCGACAAAGUCAUAAUGAGGGAUAACUAGUAUCGCAGAUAAUGUUGGAAGUGUUACUCUUUGGCUCGCAGACAAAGUUAUAAUGAGGUGAUGAAGAUAGCGACACAAGAAUUGGAUGCUUACAAUUGAUAAGGAGAUAGUAUUGGACAAAUGUUACAAUUUUCCUUUUAUUAGACUCAUUAGACAUAUUAUUUCUAAGCAUAAACUUUUAUUAUGGUAUUUUGCACUUGAAAUUUUUUUCAUUUGGGACACAUGUAUUGUAUAUUUUGGUUGAUAAAAAAAAUACAUUAGACUUUA